rnacentral:lncRNA from 1 species
GUUACUCCUUAUAUUGCCUAAAAGAUAACUCAAAGGAGGAAUUGCAGAUCAUGAGUAGAAAGAUAACGAACAUCAAGCUCCUUGCGAACAACCUUUUCACGAACAUAAUGGUAAUCUACCUCAACAUGCCGAGUGCGGGCAUGAAACACCGGGUUGGAAGCAAGGGAUAUAGCACUGAUAUUGUCACAGAACAGUGUAGGACAAUGGAGAGGAAACUGGAGGUCACGGAACAGCAUACGAAACCAUGAAAGAGUGGCAGCGGUGAUUGCAAGUUGACGAUACUCGGCUUCAGUGCUGGACCGAGAGACCCCAUUUUGUUUCUUGGCACUCCAUGAGACAAGAUUGGAACCCAGAUACAAGCAAUAGCCCCCGGUGGAACGCCGAUCAUCAGGAUCCCCGGCAUAAUCGGCAUCGGAAAAUGCCGUAAGACGAAAUGAACCAGGCUUGUAGAUAAGACCGUGAGAAGUAGUGCCGACAAGGUAACGAAGAAUGCGUUUGACGGCGGCCCAAUGAGUAGAAGUCGGCUGGUGAAGAAAUUGGCAGACUUGGUUGACGGCGAAGUUGAUGUCGGGGCGAGUGAGAGUCAAGUAUUGAAGGGCGCCGACAACACUUCGGUAUUCAGUAGGAUCCGGCAGAGGGUCACCAUCCUGAAGACUGAGCCGUCGCCCACUAACGGCAGGAGUAGGAACCGGCUUGGCACCAUGCAUUUUGGUGCGGUGAAGGAGGUCAGUGGCAUACUUCUGUUGGGAAAGAGAGAGACCUGAUGGAGUGCGGACCACCUCCAUGCCUAAGAAAUAAUGAACCGGUCCAAGGUCCUUCAUAGAGAAACGGAUGCCCAAAUUCUUAAUGAGGGUGACAAUAUGAGAGGGAUUAUUCCCGGUGACCAAAAUAUCAUCAACAUAAAUUAAGAGAUAAAUACGAGUUGAGCCAUGAAUAUAGGUAAAAAGCGAGUGAUCCGCGGUAGAGGGACGAAAACCCAAAUCUUCCAAAUGAGUGGAAAAACAUUGGAACCAUGCACGGGGCGCCUGCUUGAGCCCAUAUAAAGAACGACGAAGGCGGCACACAUGAUGAGGGAACUGUGGAUCAACAAAGCCACGAGGUUGGUGCAUAUAGACCUCCUCAGACAAAGAGCCAUGAAGAAAAGCAUUCUGAACAUCCAACUGACGAACAGGCCAUUGAAACUGAACUGAAAGAGCCAAAAUUAAGCGAAUAGUAGAGUGAUUGACAACAGGACUAAAAGUUUCACCAUAAUCAAGGCCGGGUUGCUGAUGAAAACCAUUGGCUACCAAACGAGCCUUAUACCGCUGAAUAGACCCAUCAGAAUUCUGUUUAAUACGAAACACCCAUUUGUUUGGCAAAAUAUUCAUAGAAGUAGUACGAGGAACAAGAGUCCAAGUACCAGCACGUUGAAGUGCAUUAAAUUCAUCGGCCAUCGCAGUACGCCAUUCUGGAAAAGUGUUGGCCUGACUAAAGCAAGUAGGCUCAAUAGGACCGGUAGAAGAAAUGGCAGCAGAAAAAACAUAUUUAGGAGGCUUAAGAGAAGCCGUUUUGGACCUGGUGAGCAUACCAUGGGAAGGAGAGGGCACGGCAGGUGGUACAGCAGCAGGGAGCCUCUGGAGGCGCAUCAGAGUGAACGGCAGAGGGGGUGGCUGCUUGUGCAAAAGAAAGAACCCGCCUGUGAGGGUCACGGGAGUAAACCUGGAGGGCCGGCUGUGGUGGGUCGGAUGAUGGACGGGAUUGAUGAGUCUCCAAAGAGGGGGACACAACCACCGGUGGGCUGCUAGACAGUCGGGGGGCACGCGGAAGAGGCCCAGUGAUUUCUAAAACAGGAGGAGGAGACGAGGCCGGAGAGGACGGGGCAAGAGAGCCAGAGAUGGCCUUGAAAGGAAAAUUACCUUCAUCAAACACAACAUGGCGUGAUAAAAAGAUGCGAUUAGUAGAGAUGUCUAAGCACCGAUAACCUUGAUGAUUGAGAGAGUAACCAAGAAAAACACAUUUAGUAGAACGAAAUUGGAGUUUAUUAUUAUUAUAGGGUCGUAGGUAGGGAAAACAUGCACACCCAAAGGUCUUUAAAAAACUAUAAUCAGGUUCUUUAAGAAACAACUUUUGAUAAGGAGACAUAAAACCAAGUACUUUAGAGGGGAGGCGAUUGAGAAGAUAAACUGCUGUGUGCAUGGCCUCAGCCCAGUAGGCAGGAGGCAUCGACACAUGGGCCAUUAAAGUAAGUCCAGUGUCGACAAUGUGACGGUGUUUGCGUUCCGCCAAACCAUUUUGUUCGGGAUGGUGAGGGCAUGAGAGACGAUGAUGAAUACCAUGGUGAAGAAAAAAAUGCUUGAAUUGAUGACUAGUGUAUUCGCCCCCACCAUCAGACUGAAACAUCUUAAUUUUAGUGGAGAAUUGAUUUUCAACCAAGGUCUUAAAGUGAGUAAAAAUAUUAAAAACUUCAGAUUUUAAUUUCAUGGGAUAAAUCCAAGAAUAACGAGAGAAAUUAUCAACAAAAAGAACAUAAUAUUGGAAACCACUAACAGACUUAUUGGACGCACUCCACACGUCGGAGUGAAUAAGCUCAAGAGGAGCGUGAGUAACAGACAAGGAUGCAGAAAAAGGUAACUUAACACUUUUGCCUAAGGGACAAGAAUGACACAUAAAAGUAUUGAGAUUGAGGUUGCCAGAAACAGGCAACUUAUUCGAAUGCCUAGAAAAAAGAAAUUUUAAAAUGGAAGAAGAUGGAUGGCCUAAACGAGAGUGCCAGACAUCACUACUAACACGAACACCAAGAAAAGCAGCACGACCAUGAGCAGUCGGUGAUGAAGAGGAAAAGGGAUAAAAGCCAUUGCUACUCUUGCCCGAAAAAAGAAUCGUCCCCGUCUCCAUAUCCUGAAUAUAGAAACAAGAAGGAAACAAUGUAAUAUAACAAUUGUUAUCCAACAUAAACCGAUUAGCAGACAACACAGAAGUAGAAGCAUCCGGACAAUGAAGAACAUCAUUAAGCUUGAAAGAAAUAUUAUUAUGAGAGAGAGUGGAGGAGCCAAUACGGUUAAUGGGCAAACCUGUACCUCCAACGACACCACCGACGGAAUCACCACCACGAUAAUCGCGGGACUGAGACAAAGUAUUGAGAUCAUUGGUGAUAUGCGAGUUGGCCCCGGAAUCAAGAAGCCAAGGCUGGGAGUGCUGAGCAGUCAAGGCAGUGAGACGUGAAGAAGGAGGACGACCUUCAUAAGCCAAAUUAAGGCGUUGAGCACAGUCAAGAGCACCAUGUCCAAAAGUAUUGCAAAUCUGGCAGCGAGGACGGGAGGAACCGUGAGAUGGGGCUGGACCAAGAACCCCAGAAGUAUUGUUGGAGCCACGGAAGCGAGAGCCGUCGUGCUGAGGACGACUACCACCACGAUCGCGAAACGGACGGUCAUGGAAACCACCAGCACCGCGAUAGCCACGAUAGCCGUCACCACCAUUGUUGCGAGACCCAUCAUGUUGAGGACGACCCACCCCACGUGAGAAACGGCCAGAGCCACGAUCGCCGCCGCGAUCAGAAGAGAAGCGGCCACGAGAGGCAGAAGAGCCGCGGGAGGCUACCAGGGCCGAGACGCUGGAGUCCGGCGGAGCAGGAGGAUCAGCAAGGCGAAGUUCAGCAGCGAGAAGAAGAGCCUCAAGAUCAGGAAGGGAGAUGGGCUUGUCACGGGCCUGAGCAGCAGCAACAGUGUUCUCAAAUUUGGGGCCGACAUUAGACAUGACGACCGGCACCAUGUCAUCAGGAGAAACAGGUGCCCCGGCAAGAGCCAAUUGAUCUGCAAUACCAUUGAUCUUAUCAAGAAAGUCAGAAAUUGAAGAAUCACCUCGUUUGGUCUGGAAGAAAGCAGUACGAAGCUGAAGAAUGCGACUUUGGUUUGUAGAAGCAAAACGCUGCUGAAGAGCAACCCAAACAUCACGGGCAGUGGAAUGACGAGCAGUGGCGGCGAGGGCCUGGUGACCAAGAGAGCCAUUGAUCCAAGAAAGAACAAGCUGGUCCUUCUGAACCCAGUCAGCAUACGCGGGGUUGGGCUUGGGAGAGGCGUUGCCGGUAGCGUCGGACAAGAACGCCGAGGGGCAGAUGGAAGUACCAUCAACAAAAGCCAACAAUUGACGACUGCGAAGAACAGGUAGCAACUGAGCCAACCAAAGAGGAUAAUUGGAAGAGUCAAGUUUGAUGGAGAUCGCAUGAGAAACAGAAGGGAAGAUGUCGGAGGAAGGAGUAGUCGAACUGGUUGAGGCAGCCAUGGAAAAGAGUAGUAAGAAUCCGAAAAAAAAAAAAAAAAAGACGUUAGUCACUGGCUCUGGAUACCAUAAAAGAUAACUCAAAGGAGGAAUUGCAGACAAGACAGCAAAAGUAAAAGAAGGUAUUUUGGCUCAAUCCCUCGAUACCUCAGAGGGUGCAUUAUCAUUGAUUUAAAUAGUGUACAAUGACUUGAUUUACAAGUAUAAUUAAUCUACAAAGAAUACAUAAAGGGAAUGUUUUAAUAAAACAGGGAAAUCUGGAAAUCAUGAUGAAACAGGAAACAAUCCCAAGAGAUCAGGAAUGUAUCAUCCUUUAUUGCCAAUUGGUAUUUUUAUGGUGGAACCCCAAUUUCAUCAUUGUAUCAGAGCAAGGUUGUCCACUUGUGAAGCCGAACGGCCACACGCUCUCCACAUCACCCAGUUGUUGUCCACGUGUAGGCUUGAAAAUCCACCACACGUGCGGGGGCGUGUUGAGAGUUGUCCCACAUUGGUGAGGGACAAGGUUUGCUAUGUGCUUAUAUUGCCAAUUGGUUUUAUGGUGGAACCCCAAUUUCAUCAUAAAAUACACCUUUGGUGCAGUGCUAAAGGUUGGAGUGAGACCAUAUAUCUGUUUUCUUCGUUUCUCUUGUGAUUGUCCUACAACGGUAGGGACUUUUAUAGACGUGCACCUCCAAAGCUAGUGUUGAAGUAGCACUGUUUUUCCAUCCUAUUAGUUUUCUCAUUUCUGAGGGUGUGUUUGCCAUAUGUUGAUGUGCAUUUUAGAAACUCUCAUUAUUCUUAUAUGGGACCAUUCCUCUAUAUUUUUUUCAGUCUUCUCUCUGAGAAUUCUUAAUAUUUCAGCUUUGGUUUUGUGGUUCUCUGAAGAUUCAGAACUGACUUAUAUUAGCACACUGAGCAUUGUUUAUGUUCUGUGAUCUUAUCGUUUCUGAUCUACAAUUUGUUGGUUUCUAGCGUAGACACUACCCAUUUGUUAAAUUAUGGCCAAACAACAAUUACUUUCGGCUAUUAAAAAAAGGAAAAGAAAAAACUUUUGGUUAUAAAAUUAUAAAGACAUCAUGAUGAGGAGGCAUCAUGAUGAUGUUUUUUCUUCUUUUGUGGUUUUUUAUUAGCCGAAAGUGAUGGCUUGGUUUAAAUAAUAAGUCAUUGUUUUGUUUCGGUAGAUAGAGAAGAAAAGGAGAGCUCAAUUUCAGUUUUGAGCAGAAGAGAGAAGAGAGCUGCAGAGAAAAUGAGUGCAAGCUGCAGAGCAUCAGAAAAUUAGAAAGGGUGCAACAACCCUUUGUUGAAAAGAAGAAGAAUGUGCUCUUCUUUUUUAUUAGCAAUCAUCCAUCAUAGUUAUUGUUGUAAUAGCUUUGAGCUAUAUGUGUAGAGAAGAAAUUAUACCUUAUAUUUCUUUCUCUAUUUGUUUCUGUGGUGUGUGAGAGCUAUUGGGUGUAUUGGGUUAUUUGGGUUGUGAGAU